AGAAAUGUGCUGCAAAUUUUCCUUUCGUUCCAAUGAUGCUUUAAAUUUGAGGAACAUCUGCGGAGCUAAAGCGAAACUUUUUGGCACAAAUAU